rnacentral:lncRNA from 1 species
AUUGAAUGAACAAUUGAAUAGAUGAACACAUGAUCUGCAAAACCCCAGGUAAGGUCACUGUCCCCAGUACACCCAACUGGAGCAGGCAGGUGCCUGCAUUCUUGUCCACAUCAUGCUGUUGACUGGGCACCCUGCCUCGCACCCUGUCCCCAUGCUCACCAGUGAGCGUUAGUUUUGAGUGCCGCCUUCUCUCCUCACCAACACACUCACUCACACACACU